rnacentral:lncRNA from 7 species
CCAUCUACUGUGUCUCAUUACUUCUCCAACUUCUCUGUGAGAGAGCUCAGAAUAAGAAGAAAAUACUUUUAAGUAUGGCAAAUUCAGGAAGAAGUAGGAAAUACCCCUGCCAAAUUUAAGGAUGACAUCAAACCAGUGCCAUACAGAAGGUCCUGAACAGACUGAAUGAAUGAACCUUGUGAAACCAAGCAAUUUCAAAUGCCAAGUGCUCGAAGGAAGAAGCCCCUGCAAGACAUAGUAACAUCAUUACCUUCUGAAAUAUCUAGGAGGUUCUCUUGGUUGAGAGCAGCUAUAACACCAGGUCUUCCAUUUGGGAAAGUAAACAAGCAGUUAAGCAUAUUAGAUUUUAGAAGCCUGUAGAAAUAUUGAAGUGG